AAGCUUUAUAGUCAAUUAUAUUAUGAUAUUAGACUGCAAUUCUAAAGUAGAUUUACAUCUAAAGCUUA
rnacentral:tRNA from 1 species